rfam:Methanoculleus sp. MAB1 isolate Methanoculleus sp MAB1 genome assembly, chromosome: chrI
GCACGUGAUGAACAAUGGGUCUCCUGAUUGAUGGAUGAUGACCCGUUGGAGCACUGAUG